UAACUGGGGUGAAGUCGUAACAAGGUAGCCGUAUCGGAAGGUGCGGCUGGAUCACCUCCUUUCUAAGGAGAAUUACCUACUGUUUAAUUUUGAGGGUUCUUAAUAAAAAUUAAAAACUCUAUUGACAAUCUUCGACAUAUACUAUAAAAUAUAUAUCGUUGUAAAAAUAAAUAUGGGGGUGUAGCUCAGCUGGGAGAGCACUUGCCUUGCACGCAAGGGGUCAGGAGUUCGAUCCUCCUCAUCUCCACCAUGUUUGUACUUUGAAAACUGCAUAACAUUUAGUGAUAUGACAUCAUUUUAAACAUAUAUAGACAAGAAAAGUCUUAAAAAUAACACUUUUAAGCACUGGAAUAAACUGAGUGAAUACGAAGUUUGUUCAGUAGCGAUAACUUUUUAAUAACUGGUCAAGUUAUUAAGGGUGCAGGGCGGAUGCCUUGGCACUAGGAGCCGAUGAAGGACGUGAUAAGCUGCGAUAAGCUUCGGGGAGUUGCACGUAAACUUUGAUCCGAAGAUUUCCGAAUGAGGAAACUCACUUAGNGUUGCGGACAUACAACAUGGAUGCAAUAUGUAUCAAUAACUUCAACUAUAUUACCAUCUAUUCUAACGUUGCGGACAUACAACAUGGAUGCAAUAUNAAAUGGGCGAUUAAGUUACUUGGCGUAGACCCGAAACCGGGCGACCUAUCCAUGAGCAGGUUGAAGCGAAAGUAAAAUUUCGUGGAGGACCGAACCCACGAGCGUUGAAAAGCUCGGGGAUGACUUGUGGAUAGCGGUGAAAUUCCAAUCGAGCCCGGAGAUAGCUGGUUCUCCCCGAAAUAGCUUUAGGGCUAGCCUCAAGCGUAGAGAAACGGAGGUAGAGCACUGAAUGUCCUAGGGGGUAUUGCACUUACCGAAGACUAUCAAACUCCGAAUGCCGUUUUCUUUUACUUGGGAGUCAGACUGUGGGUGAUAAGAUUCAUAGUCAAAAGGGCAACAGCCCAGAUCGUCAGCUAAGGUCCCUAAAUGUACGUUAAGUGGUAAAGGAUGUGGGAUUGCACAGACAACCAGGAUGUUGGCUUAGAAGCAGCCACUCAUUUAAAGAGUGCGUAAUAGCUCACUGGUCGAGUGAUUCUGCGCCGAAAAUUUCCGGGGCUAAAACGUACUACCGAAGCUACGGCAUCAUUUAUGAUGGGUAGGGGAGCUUCGUAUGCAGGCUGAAGCAUGACCGUAAGGACAUGUGGACAGUAUACGAGUGAGAAUGUUGGCAUGAGUAGCGAGACGUGGGUGAGAAUCCCACGGGCCGUAAACCCAAGGUUUCCAGGGGAAGGUUCGUCCGCCCUGGGUUAGUCGGGACCUAAGCCGAGGCCGAAAGGCGUAGGUGAUGGACAACAGGUUGAUAUUCCUGUACCGCCAAUAAGCGUUUGAGAGAUGGAGUGACACAGUAGGAUAAGCUAACCGUACUGUUGGUUAUGUACGGCUAAGCAUUGAGGCAGUCUAAAUAGGCAAAUCCGUUUAGGCAAUGCUAGGAUGUGAUGGGGAAGCCCUUCGGGGCGAAGUAGCUGAUUUCACACUGUCAAGAAAAGCUUCUAUCGAGUUUAAAGGCGCCCGUACCGUAAACCGACACAGGUGGGUGAGGAGAGUAUCCUAAGGCCAGCGAGAGAACUAUUGUUAAGGAACUCGGCAAAAUGACCCCGUAACUUAGGGAGAAGGGGUGCCUGUCUAUGACAGGCCGCAGAGAAUAGGCCCAAGCGACUGUUUACCAAAAACACAGGUUUCUGCUAAGUCGCAAGACGAUGUAUAGGAGCUGACGCCUGCCCGGUGCUGGAAGGUUAAGGGGAUCUGUUAGAGCAAUCGAAGCAGUGAACUUAAGCCCCAGUAAACGGCGGCCGUAACUAUAACGGUCCUAAGGUAGCGAAAUUCCUUGUCGGGUAAGUUCCGACCCGCACGAAAGGCGUAACGAUUUGGGCACUGUCUCAACAAUAGACUCGGUGAAAUUGUAAUCCCGGUGAAGAUGCCGGGUACCUGCGACAGGACGGAAAGACCCCAUGGAGCUUUACUGUAGCUUGACGUUGGGUCUUGGUACUACAUGUACAGGAUAGGUGGGAGACUAAGAAGCAUGGACGCCAGUCUGUGUGGAGUCAACCUUGGGAUACCACCCUUGUAGUACUGGGAUCCUAACCAUAGGCCUUGAAUCAGGUCUUGGAACACCGUCAGGUGGGCAGUUUGACUGGGGCGGUCGCCUCCUAAAAAGUAACGGAGGCGCUCAAAGGUUUCCUCAGCACGGUCGGAAAUCGUGCGAAGAGUGUAAAGGCAAAAGGAAGCUUGAUUGCAAGACAUACAGGUCGAGCAAGGACGAAAGUCGGACUUAGUGAUCCGGUGGUACCGCAUGGAAGGGCCAUCGCUCAACGGAUAAAAGCUACCCUGGGGAUAACAGGCUUAUCUCCCCCAAGAGUCCACAUCGACGGGGAGGUUUGGCACCUCGAUGUCGGCUCAUCACAUCCUGGGGCUGUAGUAGGUCCCAAGGGUUGGGCUGUUCGCCCAUUAAAGUGGUACGCGAGCUGGGUUCAGAACGUCGUGAGACAGUUCGGUCCCUAUCCGUCGCAGGCGUAGGAAAUUUGAGAAGACCUGUCCUUAGUACGAGAGGACCGGGAUGGACGUACCUCUGGUGUACCAGUUGUUCUGCCAAGGGCAUGGCUGGGUAGCUAUGUACGGAAUGGAUAAGCGCUGAAAGCAUCUAAGCGCGAAGCCAACUUCAAGAUAAGAUUUCCCGCCGUAAGGGUAAGACCCCAGGAAGACUACCUGGUUGAUAGGUCGAAGGUGUAAGUGCAGUAAUGUAUUUAGCUUAUCGAUACUAAUAGGUCGAGGACUUGACCAA
rnacentral:rRNA from 1 species